rnacentral:tRNA from 1 species
GCCUAGUUAGCUUAGUUGGUAGUGCGUCUGCCUUGUAAGCGCUAGACCGCGGGUUCGAUUCCCGCCCCGGGCG